rnacentral:lncRNA from 1 species
GCACUGAGUGUCGCAUGGCCCUGCCUCCGCCCCCCAGGGCUUCACAUACGUGGCGCCGUCUGUCCUGGACAGCAUCAAGGAGGGCUUCUCCUUCCAGCCCAAGCUGCGCUCACCCAGGCGCCUCAACAGUAGCCCCCGGGCCCCCGUCAGCCCCCUCAAGUUCUCCCCUUUUGAGGGGUUUCGGCCCAGCCCCAGCCUGCCGGAGCCCACGGAGCUACCUCUACCUCCACUCCUGCCACCGCCGCCGCCCUCGACCACCGCCCCUCUCCCCAUCCGUCCCCCCUCAGGGACCAAGAAGUCCAAGAGGGGCCGUGGGCGUCCAGGGCGCUAGGAAGCCGGGUGGGGGUGAGGGUAGCCCUUGAGCCCUGUCCCUGCGGCUGUGAGAGCAGCAGGACCCUGGGCCAGUUCCAGAGACCUGGGGGUGUGUCUGGGGGUGGGGUGUGAGUGCGUAUGAAAGUGUGUGUCUGCUGGGGCAGCUGUGCCCCUGAAUCAUGGGCACGGAGGGCCGCCCGCCACGCCCCGCGCUCAACUGCUCCCGUGGAAGAUUAAAGGGCUGAAUCAU